rnacentral:miRNA from 3 species
UUUCGUUGUCUGUUCGACCUU